AAUGAACGUUGGCGGCGUGGAUUAGGCAUGCAAGUCGCACGAGAAACCAAUUAGCUUGCUAUGAGGUGGACAGUGGCGAAAGGGAGAGUAACGCGUGGUUACAUGCCCUCGAGACCGGGAUAGUGUCGGGAAACUGGCAGUAAUACCGGAUAACAUCUUCGGAUCAAAUGGUGUGAUUCCGCUCGAGGAUUGGACCGCGUACUAUUAGCUUGUUGGUGAGGUAAUGGCUCACCAAGGCUGCGAUGGUUACCGGGUGUGAGAGCAUGGCCCGGCUCACUGGGACUGAGACACUGCCCAGACAUCUACGGAUGGCUGCAGUCGAGAAUCUUCGGCAAUGGACGAAAGUCUGACCGAGCGACGCCGCGUGCGGGAUGAAGGCCCUCGGGUUGUAAACCGCUGUCAGUUAGGAGGAAAUCCCAUAGGGUUCUCUCUAUGGGUUGACCGAUUUUCAGAGGAAGGACGGGCUAAGUUCGUGCCAGCAGCCGCCGCGGUAACAC
rnacentral:rRNA from 1 species